GACGAACGCUGGCGGCGUGCUUAACACAUGCAAGUCGAACGGAAAGGCCUGCUUUCCCUUGUGGAUUGCGGGUACUCGAGUGGCGAACGGGUGAGUAACACGUGAGUUAUCUGCCCCCAACUUGGGUAUAAGCCUGGGAAACUGGGUCUAAUUCCCGAUAGGACUGCAGGGUGGUGCCUGUGGUGGAACACGAUUUUCUAGUGGUUGGGGAUGAGCUGGCGGCCUAUCAGCUUGUUGGUGGGGUAAUGGCCUACCAAGGCGGCGACGGGUAGCCGGCCUGAGAGGGUGGACGGCCACACUGGGACUGGGACACGGCCCAGACUCCUACGGGAGGCAGCAGUGGGGAAUAUUGCACAAUGGGCGGAAGCCUGAUGCAGCGACGCCGCGUGGGGGAUGACGGCCUUCGGGUUGUAAACUCCUUUCGACCGCGAGGAAGCCACCUGGUUGGAAGGGUGGUGACGGUAGUGGUAGAAGAAGCACCGGCUAACUACGUG
rnacentral:rRNA from 1 species